CUAAAAUGAUUAUCUGUAAAGCUACAGAAGUUUAAUACUGAGGAUGUAUUACAAUUAUUUUUGAUAUCAGGAUAAAAAUACCUGUUCAUGAAUGAUGGUAUUGAUUUUCUCUUCUGACUUGUCUCCAGUUACAGGUGUAAUAGCCAAUAUUACUUAUAUUAACAACUAGCACCCAUUUUAAAAUUUCUGUAGUGCUGAUAAUUUAUAUGCAAGGAAAUUAAGACAAUGAGUUAUCAAUACUUGGGUUGAAUCAGUGUGAGAAACUAAAAUGCAAAUAGGUAAAAAAAAUAGGUUACUUCACUAAGUUUUCAUAAUGCAUUUGAAAACGUGGUUUCAUAAUGCAAUGACCUGGGGCUACCAACUGUUUGUAAUAGCACAAAUCUAAACAGUAUUAUGGGCAUAUAUUUCAAUAGCUCACAUCCUUCUUGAAAGAAAAUCAUUUUUCAUGGCCAUUAUUCACAUAAAAGUUCAAAUCUCUCCAAUCAGCUUUUAUAUAACAGUUUUAUGGAUUUAUCUUAGGAACAAAAUUAACCAAAAGACCCUGUAGUAGUUUUCCUUCCAGCAUAUCUUCUCUACCUAUUUUAUUAUUCAUUGUAAAACUACUGGGUGAAUAGUAUAUGUUUUUUCAGAUGUUUCUAAUCAGUAGAUAAAUAGGUACACAUAGUGCACAAAAAUCUAAGACAGAGAAGGUGAAUAAAAAAGUGUUAUUUAUGGGCAACCCCCUUUGGGUCCCCUCCCACUGUAUGGGAGCUGUGUUUUCACUCUAGUAAAUCUUGCAACUGCACACUCUCCUGCUCCGUGUUUGUUAUGGCUCGAGCUGAGCUUUCGCUGGCCGUCCACCACUGCUGUUUGCCACUGUUGCAGACCCGCCACUGACUUCCACCCCUCCGGAUCCAGCAGGGUGUCCACUGUGCUCCUGAUCCAGCAAGGCGCCCAUUGCUGCUCCUGAUCGGGCUAAAGGCUCGCCAUUGUUCCUGUACAGCUAAGUGCCUGGGUUCGUCCUAAUCGAGCUGAACACUAGUUGCUGGGUUCCACGGUUCUCUUCUGUGACCCACAGCUUCUAAUAGAGCUAUAACACUCACCUCAUGGCCUAAGGUUCCAUUCCUUGGAAUCCAUGAGGCCAAGAACCCCAGGUCAGAGAACAAAAGGGAUGCCACCAUCUUGGGAGCAGCCCGCCACCGUCUUGGGAACUCUAACAACAAAGACCCACUGGUAACAUUUGGUGGCCUCAUACAGGGAUUCUCUAAAGCAAAUGAAGACCAUCCCUGGGCAAAAUUGCGAAGAAGUGGAAGGAAAGAAGAGAAAGAAGAAGAAAGGAAUAUAGGUCUUUUGCACAAAAUUCUCUACCAAUGUAGUGCCUAAUGGCCCUGAGCAGUAAUGACUCUAGAAUCCUGUGGUAUCGACAGUAAUAUCUGGCAACAAAUGUGCAGCUAAAAGGCUGGGUAUGCUAAUGCUCUUUGUGAAGACUUUUCAGUCUCCUUAGAAAGCAGAAGCCCUAGAUUUAUCUGUUCUCAAGGUCACUAACUUUGCC
rnacentral:lncRNA from 10 species